rfam:Dipodomys ordii contig_31048, whole genome shotgun sequence.
UUUAAGGUUUUAUUUAAAACCACAAAUUUGAUUUAAAACAUAUUU